AUUGAACGCUGGCGGCAUGCCUUACACAUGCAAGUCGAACGGUAACAGGUCUUCGGAUGCUGACGAGUGGCGAACGGGUGAGUAAUACAUCGGAACGUGCCUAGUAGUGGGGGAUAACUACUCGAAAGAGUGGCUAAUACCGCAUGAGAUCUACGGAUGAAAGCAGGGGAUCGCAAGACCUUGUGCUACUAGAGCGGCCGAUGGCAGAUUAGGUAGUUGGUGGGAUAAAAGCUUACCAAGCCGACGAUCUGUAGCUGGUCUGAGAGGACGAUCAGCCACACUGGGACUGAGAAACGGCCCAGACUCCUACGGGAGGCCGCAGUGGGGAAUUUUGGACAAUGGGCGCAAGCCUGAUCCAGCAAUGCCGCGUGCAGGAUGAAGGCCUUCGGGUUGUAAUCUGCUUUUGUACGGAACGAAAAGCCCCGGGUUAAUACCCUGGGGUCAUGACGGUACCGUAAGAAUAAGCACCGGCUAACUACGUGCCAGCCGCCGCGGUAA
rnacentral:rRNA from 1 species